rnacentral:lncRNA from 1 species
CCUUUUCUUUAAAAAAAAAAAAAGAAAGAAAGAAAAGAAAAAGAAAAGACAAGAAAAGAAAAGAAAAGGAUAUAAUCAGCCAAAUUCAAAAUGUGUGAAAUGCUACAAGCUUCCAGGACUGUGAAACAAGACAUUUCUUUGGUUCAAGCCACUCCCUUAGUGCACAUUGUUAUGGCAGCCAUGGAAAACCAUCCACAGAGGGUCAGUUCCUAUGGAGGUGGGGUGAGUGACGAGAUGUUCCUGACUGGGCUGACAACGGAGGACGAGAGAGCUUGGGUGUGGAUGGGAAAAUAACUAGAAACUUCCCUUGAUCUCUCAGCAUUCUGUUCCAUCCCUGUCACUUCGAUGUCUCUCUUUCUUGAAUAUGGAAGCAGCCCUGGGCCCAGCUGCUGCAGGUGGCCAGGAAGGAGCCUGGGAGGAUGACGGGGUUCCUGAUCUGAUAGAACUGGGCUGUGACUAGGCAGAACCCUGUUCCACCACACACACCCCAGUGGAGGACGUUCUGUAUCUGUGAUGAAUGACCCCUGCAUACAUUAUAUCUUUCAGUAAAAACAGUGGUGUUUCAGUAGUGUUACUAGCUAAGCUGCUUAACUCUCACAUUACAGACGUCAGUGAAGCCCCUUGGUAGGUAGUGUCUAAAAUUAGAUUUAUCUGCUUAUUUACACAAUUAUACUCUCAUGAGUUUGAAUGUUGGGGAAAGAUCAAGAAAAAGACCAGAUCACUAGAUGGCAAUAGCACACAAGAGCUUUAUUUGGAUGAAGCUUGGACAGAAUGCAUGGAAGGGGAAAGUCCCUUGCAGCAGAAGACCUUCCAGAGGCAGUGGCAGGGCCACCACCAGAAGAAAAGGGCAAGGACACUCCCAGGGGAGAGGAGGAUCAGAGAGGAGGUUACAGGUCUAAGAGAUGUCACAGGUCUAGAAGAAAAGAAAAGGAGCCAGGUGCAGUGGCUCACACCUGUAAUCCCAGCACUUUGGGAGGCCCAGGCGGGCAG